rnacentral:rRNA from 1 species
GUCUGGGGCCAUGCCACCUUGAAAGCCUGAUGCCGUCUGAUCUUGGAAGUUCAGCGCGUCGGGCCUGGUUAGUACUUGGAUAGGAGACCACCUAGGAAGACCAGGUGCUAUGGGCG